GUACUCACUUCAGCAACACAGAUACUGAUAUUGCUAUGAUAUACUGAAGAUUAGCAUGGCCCCUGAACAAUGAUGACACGCACAUCUGUAAAGUGUUCCAUAUUUAA
ensembl:snRNA U6 U6 spliceosomal RNA